GUCCUAUGUAGUAUAAAGGAAAUAGGUAAGAUUGUGAUUUACCAGCAAAUGUCACUUUUUCAUUGUAGGGGUUUGUGGCAGAUAAAAGAAUGGCCCUCCAAAGAUGUUCGAGUUUUAAUCCCCAAAACCUGGGACACCCCAGAUGGCAACAGCGGACACAUUCUCCUCUAUCCCUACUGGAGCGAGUGCCCACUGGGAUCAAAGUGGGAUUUGGGUACUGCUGGAGUGUUAACGAGAUGACAUGUCUCCCAGUUUUCUGCUGCAUUCUGUUUUGCCCGAUUGUGAAGGAGCCUUCCAGGAAAAGAACUCAAGCCAUAUCCACGCUGUGUAUGUAGAGGCCUGGAACACAGAUGUGGCCACAAGAGCCGGCCCCAAACAUGCCAACAAUGAGUUGGUGGCACACUAGGAUG